GUCCACGCUGUAAACGAUGGGUACUAGGCUUCGUGGGAGUUGACCCCUGCGGAGCCGGCGCUAACGCAAUAAGUACCCCGCCUGGGAAGUACGGUCGCAAGACUAAAACUCAAAGGAAUUGACGGGAGCCCGCACAAGCGGUGGAUUAUGUGGUUUAAUUCGAAGCAACGCGCAGAACCUUACCUAGGUUUGACAUCCUUUGACAAUUGCAGAGAUGCAACUUUCGUAGCAAUACGACAAAGAGACAGGUGCUGCAUGGCUGUCGU
rnacentral:rRNA from 1 species